rnacentral:rRNA from 1 species
GAUGAACGCUGGCGGCGUGCCUAAUACAUGCAAGUCGAGCGAACGGACGAGAAGCUUGCUUUUCUGAUGUUAGCGGCGGACGGGUGAGUAACACGUGGAUAACCUACCUAUAAGACUGGGAUAACUUCGGGAAACCGGAGCUAAUACUGGAUAAUAUUUUGAACCGCAUGGUUCAAAAGUGAAAGACGGUCUUGCUGUCACUUAUAGAUGGAUCCGCGCUGCUUUAGCUAGUUGGUAAGGUAACGGCUUACCAAGGCAACGAUGCAUAGCCGACCUGAGAGGGUGAUCGGCCACCCGGGAACUGAGACACGCUCCCGACUCCUGCGGGAGGCAGCAGUCGGGAAUCGGCCGCAAUGGGCGAAAACCUGACGGAGCAGGGCCGCGUGAGUGAUGAAGGUCUUCGGUUCGUGAAACUCUGUUUUUGGGUAAGAACAUAUGUGUAAGUAGCUGUACACAUCUUGACGGUACCUAAUCAGAAAGCCCCGGCUAACUACGUG